CUAGAUACAAGCGAGCGGCGGACGGGUGAGUAACACGUGGGUAACCUGCCCAAGAGACUGGGAUAACACCUGGAAACAGAUGCUAAUACCGGAUAACAACACUAGACGCAUGUCUAGAGUUUGAAAGAUGGUUCUGCUAUCACUCUUGGAUGGACCUGCGGUGCAUUAGCUAGUUGGUAAGGUAACGGCUUACCAAGGCAAUGAUGCAUAGCCGAGUUGAGAGACUGAUCGGCCACAUUGGGACUGAGACACGGCCCAAACUCCUACGGGAGGCAGCAGUAGGGAAUCUUCCACAAUGGACGAAAGUCUGAUGGAGCAACGCCGCGUGAGUGAAGAAGGGUUUCGGCUCGUAAAGCUCUGUUGGUAGUGAAGAAAGAUAGAGGUAGUAACUGGCCUUUAUUUGACGGUAAUUACUUAGAAAGUCACGGCUAACUACGUGCCAGCAGCCGCGGUAAUACGUAGGUGGCAAGCGUUGUCCGGAUUUAUUGGGCGUAAAGCGAGUGCAGGCGGUUCAAUAAGUCUGAUGUGAAAGCCUUCGGCUCAACCGGAGAAUUGCAUCAGAAACUGUUGAACUUGAGUGCAGAAGAGGAGAGUGGAACUCCAUGUGUAGCGGUGGAAUGUGUAGAUAUAUGGAAGAACACCAGUGGCGAAGGCGGCUCUCUGGUCUGCAACUGACGCUGAGGCUCGAAAGCAUGGGUAGCGAACAGGAUUAGAUACCCUGGUAGUCCAUGCCGUAAACGAUGAGUGCUAAGUGUUGGGAGGUUUCCGCCUCUCAGUGCUGCAGCUAACGCAUUAAGCACUCCGCCUGGGGAGUACGACCGC
rnacentral:rRNA from 1 species